CAGAUAAACACACCAUACUUAAAAGAUAUAAAAAAACUUAAUAGUUUUAAAAUACCUAUAUCAAAAAUAUUAUCGAGCCUUUAUUUUCACAGUCCUAUUUAUCGCGUAUACAACUUUUACACGUUUUAAUUAAUUUCAUAAUUCUCAAUUUACCAGAUCUUCAAAGAUGUGCGGCGGUGGUUGUGCGCCUUGUGGUAGCUGCGGAAGCUGUUGUACUAGUUGUACGAAAACCUGCUACUAUUGUCCAAAUGUUACAAUCUACUCGUGCUGUACAAAGAUCUGCUAGUAUGAUGGCGCGACGGGUCUGAGCCAGGACCUCUGGUUGUAUACGGCAAGCGAACCAAGGCGCCUGGUGCUAUGGCCUGCUGUAUACACUGGGCUGUGGGUUCUGGCCCGUACAAGGCUAUCGUGCUGUCUCUCUCCAGGGCGUUCCUGGACUUCUAGUGUCCGUUUGUGAAAAUAAAGUAAUUUAAGCGUAUAAA